rnacentral:rRNA from 1 species
UGCUAAGGUCGAGCGCCCCGCAAGGGGAGCGGCAGACGGGUGAGUAACGCGUGGGAAUCUACCGAGCCCUGCGGAAAUAGCUCCGGGAAACUGGAAUUAAUACCGCAUACGCCCUACGGGGGAAAGAUUUAUCGGGGUUUGAUGAGCCCGCGUUGGAUUAGCUAGUUGGUGGGGUAAAGGCCUACCAAGGCGACGAUCCAUAGCUGGUCUGAGAGGAUGAUCAGCCACAUUGGGACUGAGACACGGCCCAAACUCCUACGGGAGGCAGCAGUGGGGAAUAUUGGACAAUGGGCGCAAGCCUGAUCCAGCCAUGCCGCGUGAGUGAUGAAGGCCCUAGGGUUGUAAAGCUCUUUCAACGGUGAAUAUAAUGACGGUCACCGUAUAAGAAGCCCCGGCUAACUUCGUGCCAUCAGCCGCGGUAAUACGAAGGGGGCUAGCGUUGUUCGGAAUUACUGGGCGUAAAGCG